rnacentral:rRNA from 1 species
CACGUAGGAGGCGAGCGUUGUCCGGAAUCAUUGGGCGUAAAGAGCGCGCAGGCGGCUUGACAAGUCGGGUGUGAAAUCCCGGGGCUCAACCCCGGGACUGCAUUCGAUACUGUCAGGCUAGAGGUAGGUAGGGGAGAUCGGGAAUUCCUGGUGUAGCGGUGAAAUGCGCAGAUAUCAGGAGGAACACCGGUGGCGAAGGCGGAUCUCUGGGCCUUACCUGACGCUCAGGCGCGAAAGCUAGGGGAGCGAACAGG